rnacentral:lncRNA from 1 species
GGUGCUCGCUGUCUCGUGGACGCCAUCAGGCCGCUUUGGACUCGUCUGGACUAAAGCUGUUGUCCAGGUUUGUCGUCUUGGUCAUCCUGAAGAAAAGGAGCUCUCGGUGCUGCAAGCUGAUCGCCUAAGAACAUGGAAUAUAAUAUGGAUGCAGAUGCUUGAACAUAAUUUCUUCUGUACUCUGCAGAUUGGUAGCUUGAAUCAUUGAUUGAUAAGAAAUUAUACACAGGACUAAUACCAAGGAAAUAUUCUGUCUGUUCAUGUUGGGUUUAAUGAAAAUGAU